UAGGGAAUCUUCGGCAAUGGACGAAAGUCUGACCGAGCAACGCCGCGUGAGUGAAGAAGGUUUUCGGAUCGUAAAACUCUGUUGUUAGAGAAGAACAAGGACGUUAGUAACUGAACGUCCCCUGACGGUAUCUAACCAGAAAGCCACGGCUAACUACGUGCCAGCAGCCGCGGUAAUACGUAGGUGGCAAGCGUUGUCCGGAUUUAUUGGGCGUAAAGCGAGCGCAGGCUGUUUCUUAAGUCUGAUGUGAAAGCCCCCGGCUCAACCGGGGAGGGUCAUUGGAAACUGGGAGACUUGAGUGCAGAAGAGGAGAGUGGAAUUCCAUGUGUAGCGGUGAAAUGCGUAGAUAUAUGGAGGAACACCAGUGGCGAAGGCGGCUCUCUGGUCUGUAACUGACGCUGAGGCUCGAAAGCGUGGGGAGCAAAUAGG
rnacentral:rRNA from 1 species